CCUACGGGAGGCAGCAGUGGGGAAUAUUGCGCAAUGGGCGAAAGCCUGACGCAGCGACGCCGCGUGAGGGAUGACGGUCUUCGGAUCGUUAACCUCUGUCAGCAGGGAAGAACGGUCACUGUGCUAAUCAGCAGUGAAUUGACGGUACCUGCAAAGGAAGCACCGGCUAACUCCGUGCCAGCAGCCGCGGUAAUACGGAGGGUGCGAGCGUUAAUCGGAAUUACUGGGCGUAAAGCGCUCGUAGGCGGUAUGUCAAGUCAAGGGUGAAAUCCCCGCGCUCAACGUGGGAACUGCCUUUGAUACUGGCAAACUGGAGUGUGGUAGAGGAUAGUGGAAUUCCAGGUGUAGGAGUGAAAUCCGUAGAUAUCUGGAGGAACAUCAGUGGCGAAGGCGACUAUCUGGCACAUAACUGACGCUGAGGAGCGAAAGCGUGGGUAGCAAACAGGAUUAGAUACCCGGGUAGUC
rnacentral:rRNA from 1 species